AUUGAACGCUAGCGGGAUGCCUUACACAUGCAAGUCGAACGGAGUGGCGAACGGGUGAGUAAUGUACAGGAACGUGCCCAGUCGCGGGGGAUAACUACGCGAAAGCGUAACUAAUACCGCAUACUAUUUGAGCGGCAGAUUUCGGAUUAGCUAGUUGGUGGGGUAAAGGCUCACCAAGGCGACGAUCCGGAGCUGGUUUGAGAGUACGACCAGCAACACGGGUACUCAGACACGGACAAGACUCCUACGAGAGGUAGCAGUGGGGAAUUUUGGACAAUGGGGGAAACCCUGAUGCAGCAAUCCCGCGUGUGCGAUGAAGGCCUUCGGGUUGUAAAGCACUUGUAGCAGGAACGCGGUACCUGCAGAAUAAGCACCGGCUAACUACGUGCCAGCAGCAGCGGUAAUUC
rnacentral:rRNA from 1 species